rnacentral:rRNA from 1 species
UACGGGGGGGGCAAGCGUUGUUCGGAAUUACUGGGCGUAAAGGGCUCGUAGGCGGCCAACUAAGUCGGAUGUGAAAUCCCCAGGCUCAACUUGGGAACUGCAUCCGAUACUGGAUGGCUUGAAUUCGGGAGAGGGAUGCAGAAUUCCAGGUGUAGCGGUGAAAUGCGUAGAUAUCUGGAGGAAUACCGGUGGCGAAGGCGGCAUCCUGGACCGACAUUGACGCUGAGGAGCGAAAGCGUGGGGAGCGAACAGG